GCUUUCCUUUAGCUCAGUGGUAAGAGCAUGGCGCUAACAACGCCAAGGUCCUGGGUUCGAUCCCAGGGGAUUGCA